GGUUAAGCGACCAAGCGUACACGGUGGAUGCCCUGGCAGUCAGAGGCGAUGAAGGACGUGCUAAUCUGCGAUAAGCGCCGGUAAGGUGAUAUGAACCGUUAUAACCGGCGAUUUCCGAAUGGGGAAACCCAGUGUGACUCGUCACACUAUCAUUACGUGAAUACAUAGCGUAAUGAAGCGAACCGGGGGAACUGAAACAUCUAAGUACCCCGAGGAAAAGAAAUCAACCGAGAUUCCCCCAGUAGCGGCGAGCGAACGGGGAGGAGCCCAGAGCCUGAAUCAGCAUGUGUGUUAGUGGAAGCGUCUGGAAAGGCGCGCGAUACAGGGUGAGAGUCCCGUACACAAAAGCGCAUAUGCUGUGAGCUCGAUGAGUAGGGCGGGACACGUGGUAUCCUGUCUGAAUAUGGGGGGACCAUCCUCCAAGGCUAAAUACUCCUGACUGACCGAUAGUGAACCAGUACCGUGAGGGAAAGGCGAAAAGAACCCCGGCGAGGGGAGUGAAACAGAACCUGAAACCGUGUACGUACAAGCAGUGGGAGCCCCACCACUAAGCCAGUGGUGAACUCCACAUACGCAUCCUUUGCGGAAGGUGCGGUUAACGGAGCGUAAGCGACGUUUAACCUCAAAAAAAGCAGAGGGGGCUUAGUGGUGGGGUGACUGCGUACCUUUUGUAUAAUGGGUCAGCGACUUAUAUUCUGUAGCAAGGUUAACCGCAUAGGGGAGCCGAAGGGAAACCGAGUCUUAAU
rnacentral:rRNA from 1 species